rnacentral:lncRNA from 1 species
GCUGAUGUACUCAAUUUUUGACUCAAAAUAUCUAUUUCAAGAAAGAGCUUACAUACACAGACUGGGAUUCAUCUUGAUCAUCAGCAAAUUAGUUAUUCAGUCCAUAUUAAUUUCUCUCCAUAAUCUGUGGCAGAUGAAGGCUAUUCAUCCCUUUGUAAGAGGACCUCUUCUGUUCUGAGGAUUGGAUAGAACUCUCAACUCCUAUUUUAACCUUUUAACUUCAUUUUUUCUUUCCGUAAUCUACACAUGGAAUCAUUCUAACAGAGCUGUCUUGAGGCAUCCCAAACAUGUGGGCCCUACAGAAGAUGAAGAAGAUGAUAGGUCAUACCCAGUCUGUUUCUAAUGUUAACAGACAGUGGGUAAAGUCAAGACAGACAGUGAACUAAAUGUUUUGGUUUUGAAUUCCUGCUGCUUGCAGGAACAAGAAAGACAGAGGGGGGGAUUUGUCUUUUGGGAAAUAUCAAAUCUUGAUUCUGUUUUAAGGCAACAAGAACUAUAAACUUGCUUUUCCAAUCUAAUGUGUACAGCAAGUUUGUGACUGCUUUGCCCACCCUUGCAGAAAGCUGGCUUGGGUGACUAUCUUCAGCUUUCUCUGGAACUGAUCCUGAUCCUCGGUGGGAGAAAUGCACAUUGUGUACAGUGACUCAAUUCCCUUUCUUUAUGUGAUCAUGUAACUGCUUUAUCCUAGGACAC